GUCUACGGCCGUGCCACCCCGAACAAACCCGAUCGCGUCUGAUCUCGGAAGCUAAGCAGGGUCAGGCCUGGUUAGUACUUGGAUGAGAGACCACCUAGGAAGACCAGGUGCUGUAGGAG
rnacentral:rRNA from 1 species